CCCUCGGAUCCUUGGUGUUUUUCCUUGGCAUUCUUCAGGUAAUGGCAUUGAUUCUAAGGCCGGACAAGACAUCCAAACAGCGCAAGUACUGGAACUAGUAACAUCACUUGGUAGGGAGACUUGCUCUCAUCUUGGGAGCUCUGAAUAUUGUGUUUGGACUUUGAGUGGCAGAAGCAGGCUUGGGGUGGAAGAUAGGAUAUGGGUUUCUUGUGACAGUAAGUGUCCUUGGGGCUGGGGAGAUCCAACAUGUAAUCUUACAAUUUUUUAAUAGAUUGUUGAGAGUGAUAAUUCCCAAA